UACAAUACACUCUCACAAACAAACGAAUUUAACGUUCUUCAAUCCACUCUUUAGAUUCUUCUUCUUCCUCCCUUCCCCUCUUGCUCUCAAAUUUUCAAAUUUUCAAUCAUGUCUAUCGCUCUCUAUAUGAUAUCAUCAAGAAUAACAAAAAAUCUGGAUCCAGAAACCUUUUAUUUCCUCUCCCACAGAGUACGCGAGUUCUGAAAACCCUAACUACUCUUUCAGAAUAUUCUUCAAUCUUGAUUCAAUUUUCAGUUUUCGAUUUUAGUUCUUUUCUCAUUUCCCGUUUCAAUUUGGUUUUGCGUUUUUCGUGAUUCCAAUUCAUGUUCUUGAUCUGACUUCUUGAUUUCUCUUUUAUUUGAUUCUUGUUCCGUGUUUGAUUGCGAUUUUGUUUUAUUAGCAAUUUUAAUUCAUUAUUUUCCCCAAAUUCUAGGGUUUGAGACUUCAUUUUGAUUGAAUUUCAGUUGAUUUCCAUUUCCGCUUCCGAUCGCAUAUCAUCUGCACUCUGUUUCUGGUGCUGUGUUAUUUUCGAUAAUGAUUUAAGGAGACGAAGAUGAGAAUCUCAAUUUCGAUGAUUCUUUGUAUAUUUCUUCGUUAAAAACUUGCGGCAGUUCUUUAUUUCAUUAUGUUACUUUGAUUCUUUGAGUUCACCGGCAUUGGCGGCAGUUAUUGGUGAGAUUGCGGUUCUUUCCGAUCUUGUGGUGGAUAUGAUUUGACGAUUCUUGAGUUUCGGUUCAUUGUGAGUGGUGUUAUUGUCACCAUUGAAGAUACUGAUUGCAGAAUUGAAUUUUGCUCUCUUCAAUCCUUGAGAUAUAUCUAUAAAUGCUGAAAAUCUUUGCAUGAUAAGUUUUGAGAUGGUCAGGAUAAACCAGAGGUUCAACGAGAACAUAAAUAUGAGGUGUUGAUAUUAUUGGGUGAUGCAAGCAGUGCACUUGGACAUAUGAGCAAAGGUGUAGCUGCAUUGUCUAUGGAUAAGUUCAUUCAAAGUCGACAGAGACAGGAAAACAAAGGUGUGGAGGAUUUUGGUGACGUUGUUAGAGAGUGAGGUGGAGCAUUAAUUAUGUUAGGCACCUUUCUUAAUCCCAGAUCAAAGAAAAUGUUAUCUGGCAUAAGUCAGCGUCAUGAUGUUCCAGGGACUUCAUUCUUCUCGAAGAACCAUUCGGCCGCAGCGAUCCAGCCAACAGGGUCGGUUCCCAUGAAAUCUGGUAAUUGCUUCUUCAUAGUCCAAACGUCCUCUAUCACUGGCUCCUCGCGUGUUCGAAUCCGGUAGGUCGGACCAAUUAAUAUGUAUGUGAAUAUAUUUUGUGAUUUAAUAUAUGAACAAAUGCAAAGAUGAUGAUAAUAAGAUGAUAAAUGGAGGAAUUAUAUUUAAUGGAAUAUGCGAUUACAAUGGAAAACUGAAUAGAAAGAUAGAACGAACUAAUAGCAAUGCAGCUACUAGCCCACAACGUGGAACGUUUUACCCAAAUCACAUAAAGUGACCCUACCAAGAAAUAUCUCAAUUCUUAGCUACUUAUUCCUUCUGCAUAACACUCCUUAUAUAGUGGAAUAAGUCCUCAUGCUUUUCAUGCACUCAUGCCACCUCAUCAUUAUUUCAUUCCUUUCCACACCUUAGUCUUGGGCCAAAGUCAAGGCCCACUUUCACAUUCCUCCCCUUAGCUUCUUCCCUCACGAGCAAGCCAUGUGAAAUUCUCAUAUGCUGACAAUUUCAUCACCACCGCCGCGACCCUCUUGCUGUAUUUGAUAGUUGAAUCAUGCAUUUGACUCUGUCACCCACGUCAAUGAUAACAUUUUAAACCAGCAAAUUGAGCCUCAUAUAAUGUUUACUCCAUUCUGAUGUUAGACCCUUUUCAUAUUACCCAGCUAGCUAAACACCAACUCUCAUCUUCAAGAAAACACCAUACCCCAUAUUGUUCAGAUUCCUAUAUAGGCAUAACUCUAAGUAACCGUCAUCAACGUAGACCUAAGUGGUCAUAUAUUGGUCAUUAUAAAUCAUUUUGAUGAUAUUACAGAAGUUUUUUUUUUUUUUUUACUAAGAUGAUAUUACACACAAGUUAAAACAUGUAAUUAUGUAAUUUAUGUCGCUUGGAAAAGAGAAA